CCGUGCUCCACGGGGACUUGGCGGAUCUCUUGACCCGAACGCUUAUGCGGGGUGCAGAGCCUGCUGUGAGGCUAGUGUGAAAGCAGGAAAUCAAAUAUUUGUUUAUGAUUGCUCAGAUUUUUUCGGCGAAAGCAAUCGAACCGUGUCAGAUCAGGAAUGAAGCAGCACUAAGAUUUAACUUUCGGGUGAGAGAAUUUUGAGAGGGAGAUAAAUAUUUAGACGAACUGUUUUUGUAUGUGUCGAUAGGCAGUGGCACGG
rnacentral:SRP_RNA from 1 species